rnacentral:lncRNA from 1 species
ACAACGUGGGAUCGUUCUUCCUCUUUCAGGCCCAAGUCUGCACGGCAACGAGCUUCUUCAACUCUCUAUGUCAAAAGGCUAUCAGCACCUUGCAGGAUGGAGCCCCCUCUUCGAGUCAGUUCAGUUUGCAGAGAUUUGGGAACUGGAUCUCUUGGUGUGAUGCUGUUUGGUUUUUACUUUCACGGGUCUCAUCUCUUAUCUCCUGAGAGCAGAGAAACAGAUACUUCCUUCAAAGAGGCAGAUCAGCUAACAUCCCAGGCAUGACUGUCACAGUGCUUUGUACCUAGCAAGAACCUUGAUGGCAGAAUCGCAAUGUAGAUGCCCACCUUCCAAGUGGAGGAGAACCUAAUUACUUCUGUGCUGUUUACCUUGUAUUGGCUGCAAGUUCACUUCUGUGUGAUAUUUAAGGAAGAAGGGCCCACAAUCAUUCAGAAGACACAUGAGCUCAUUUGGCUACCCCUCGAUGGUAGCAAUACAAGGAUCUGUGAUGCUUAUGAGACUACAGGUGUGGAUAUGGAGAAAUUUGUUAUGUGAAGAUAAGCUGCACAUGCCAUUCACUGUUGGCAAAUGUAAAGUAAUGAGGUAAGGUACCUUUAUAGUUUAACAGCAGCACAGCGCAGAAUACAGAGCAAGA